rnacentral:misc_RNA from 1 species
AGCGUUGAUAUUAACAUCGCUUAUUUUGGAAUAUAUUCAUUUACAUGAAUAAAUUUGGUUAUUAUUUCGGAUUCGUUACCAGAACGAUAUAUUCCAUUGCCUUCAUUUUGUUGUUGAAUAAUAACUUUUCCAUAACUGUUUAUCUAUAAGUCUCGCUUCCAUCAUAAAUAAAUCAACCAUAAACUGACAAAUCUGUACUAAUUUGUCACUCGAAAUCUCAACAUGAAAAAUCUCUUUACGCUUAUUGUACUAAUUCUGUAUUUUCAAGAGUUAAAAGCAGACUUUACAAACGCUACGGAACAAAAGAAAAUUGCAUCAACGCCCCAGCUCGAAAACAAUUUUGACAAAAUUCCGGCCGAGGCAGAAAUUACAACAGCUUUAGUAGAAAAUGAAAAAUUUGAUGAUAAUGAACUCCAAAAACAUUUUGUACAAAAAUUUCAAUUAUAUAAAAAUAAUUUAGAGAAAGACAAAAACAGCAACGAGACCCAUGAGAUGAUGCUGCAAAGAAAAUCAAGGUACGCCGCGAAUAAUACGCACUCUAAUAAAAGGAUGGAAUGUUUGUCGUGUCGUGCAGACGGGAUUUCUACUGCAGAUGAGAAUUGUUAUAAGGGAUCCAGAGUUCCGUCACAAAAUUGUUCAGAUGCCGAGCAAUGUUAUACUGAACUUCACCCUUUAUACAUAAAAAGAGGUUGUAUAUUACCUAGCAGCCUAAACAGAACGUUUGCAUGCAAAUGUCCCCUAUGUAACGACAAACCUUCAUACGACUCCGCCUAUUACGAAUAUACCAAACUCAGCGAUUGGGAGUACGAUAACGAACGCCUUCAGAAACCUGUGGUAGGAAUAGACCUCAUUUGCAAAGUUUGCGAAACUAGAAGAACGAAUAAACAUGCCGAUAAUGUUUGUAAAAAUGGUCAGGGUUCAGACUAUAUGGUUUGCGGACAUGAGGAACUAUGCUUCACAAAUAUAAAUGAACAAAUUGACUCGGUAACCAGAGGAUGCGUAUCAAAACCAGUACAUAACUCAUACUAUCAUUUUUGCAAUACAUUAAAGUGCAACAACGAGGCUUAUCUAAGUCCGACACAGAGAAAACCAAGAGAGCUAUUAAUGGGACUCACGCCCUUGCCAAGUAGAUUUUCAUCAAGUGAUGUUACUAAAAUAUGGCAUCCAAUAAUUCUCUUUGAAAUCUUUUUUAUGGGCAUUAUUUAUAAACGUCUUACAUACUGCCAUUUCUAGAAAAAGUUUAUCUGCGUUUUAUAGAUUAUAAUAUCUUUAUGAUAGAUUUUAUGACAGAAUGCAUUUUUGAUUGAAGUUUACUGACAACGUACAAAAUGAGAUUUUUUCAAGUGAUUUUAUUUUAUUUGCUUAUUAUACACGUGAAAUGUGAAGAAACUACUGAAAAAAAUAAACGCGGUAGAGAAAAGGCACCGACGGAACAUGUUGAUGGAAACAAAGGCAAAGAUGAAUUGUUACACCUGACAAAAGACCUAAUGUAUCAUGAGAAAUCUUGUGACAAGGAAGACGACGUUAGUUUUGCUGCAGGCGGUAACAACGAAAUAAAUAUUACUAGAAGUGAAUCUGACGUAUCCGAGUCGAGGCGUUCGUGCAUAUUUUGUGAUAACGUACAAAUCGAGGACUGCUAUGAUCCGAAAAAUAAAUUGAUCCCGUCAAUCAUGUGCGAACGUGAGGAAGACUUGUGCUAUUCUCAACACACGCCUUUCGGCAUAAUCGACAGAGGAUGUUUCAACGUAAAUCACAAUCUCACCACCUACGUUUGCUCCUGCAAUCUUUGUAACUACAUAUCCAUUUCUGAAAUGCCAUACAUUUUCUCUAACAAGCGAGAUUGGGUCGAUAAUGUUGUUGAGCUCUCACGUACGCGGCAUUUUAGAAAAUCUGUGUUUAAAGACAUGACUUGCUUGAGAUGUGAAGUUAACGUGACCACCAAAAGGGGUGAUAUGCUCGAUAGUGCAAAUUGCUUGGAAGGAAACGUUGGGGCAUUACCAAUACAACAAUGUGAAGAAGACGAAAUCUGCGCAGUUAGGGCUAUCAAAAACACUGGCUUUAUGUGGAGGGGUUGUGUUAAGGCCCCUCUUUAUAACUAUUGGUGGGCCCUUUGCGACACCGACCUUUGUAACUACGAUGCUCUUAUUUCUAUCUAUGACUUUAUGUAAAACUAUUCCUAUUUUCUUAUCUACUUUAAUAAAUGAUUUCAAAUAA